UGCCCUUGCUCAUGGCACUGGGAGAGCUUGUGAGAAAAUGAGAUCACGUAGAGCCUCUCCCUCUGGGAUCCCAUCCCUGAUAUCAUGUGACAUGUAGUCAUCAUGUCUUCUUAGCCUCGUCUGCACUAAGGAAGAAUGUAAAAAAUUGAAAAGGCUGUUUGGGACCAAGAACUAGAGGCCAGGAUUCUGUAGACUGGCUAAUAGCUAUCAGCAUGACUUUGGGAGAGAAGUGUGAGUUAUGGGAGGACUGCUUUAUCCAGAUGACAACUUCUGAUUCAAAAAUGGACAAUC